UGGGGGAUAUUGCACAAUGGGGGGAACCCUGAUGCAGCGACGCCGCGUGGGUGAAGAAGCGCCUCGGCGCGUAAAUCCCUGUCAGCAGGGAAGAAAAUGACGGUACCUGAAGAAGAAGCCCCGGCUAACUACGUGCC
rnacentral:rRNA from 1 species